rnacentral:lncRNA from 1 species
UGCUUUCCUAUUUCUUGCAUAUUUUCUGGAUCUAAAAAGAACACUACAUUUGAAAAGAAGACUCUGGUUUCAGACCUGAUUCUUGAUAGCCAGCCUGUGUAUUUCCACUGAAUGUGCAGGAGCCAGAUGCUCUGGGUUUGUGGCAGUCUGGCUGAAGCUCAGAACAAAACUCAAGGGAGUCCAGCAUUGCAUGCGGAGUUUCUGCUGCUGUGUUAAUUGAAAGAGAGAGAAGGCAGAGGAAUUACACUGUGUUUCUCAAAGCACAGGCAGCGUACUUACAGAUGAGCUUAUUAUGAGAAGAAGCCGCAUACAGACAGGAUUCUGCUACCUGUGGCAGAAAAAAGGUUUGAUCUGCGCAGGACCUCUCCAGACCCCUUCACCCUCACUUGGGAGGAAAAAUCGAACAGCAAGAAGGACAUGCUCAGAGGAGUUGGAUUACAGCUUACACGUGUAUUCGAACCCAGAGUUACACAACUGCAUGAAGAGCUGUGUGCAGAAAUGCUUUCUGAUUUCUGCUUACAACAGCCUAGGUACAAAAUCCCUGUUAUUUGUAAAGGAAACAGAAACGUUUGCUAGGUAGAGAAUUGCUGAAAAUGCUACACCUGCAAGAAGGUAGAAGAGUCCUUGAGAAUUCAGUGCUGGUUAGCACUGAUGAAACACAGGAUAGAUGGUGAAAUAUAUCCUUCAAAAACUGACACUUGUAUGUUUUGGCACUUGGAGCUUGCGCUGGUUGCUCACCCAUCGGUUGUAUUCUGACACGUAGUUCCUAGAGCUUUACUGCCUUGCACGCUUUGGCAGUUUCACUGAUCACCAGCAUUUUACUUUCCUUAUCAUUCUACCUUUAUUAGAUAAUUUUCUUCUCAAACGUCUUGAUCUCUGAGUAACAGCUCUGCUUCUGGCAGAGUCGUGCUGUUUCCAAAAGAAACAUCAAAGUGGUGUUUUCACGUAUGAGUGAAAGUGCGUUGCAGGGAAAGGCACUGUCUUAUAACCAAGUUUGUUUUUUAAGCUCAAAAUAAGCAGGAUUUGAAUGUUAUUAAAUAACAUUUUUUUUUUGUGAGAAGGAACUGGAUUUAGAAAAAUGAACCGACUCUUCAGCCAGACCCGUCAUGAAUUGCAAAAGCAGCUGGGAGAUUUGGCCUGAGAAUCAGGUUGCUUUUUCUUUUUUCUUCGUCAGAGUUUGUAAGAGAUUUGGAGGGACAUAACAUUUAUUUCCUACUUCCCUGAGCUUCAGUCCAGGCCUUGGAAAAACCCAUCUGACAGUGAGUUUGUUUGUAUAUUUCAAAUUUUUUCCUAAGUAUGCUGGGCUCAUUAGCAAGCCUUGGAAAAUGCACGCUUUGUUGAAGUUAAUAUGGGAAAUAAGAUACUGAGGGCUCAAAUCUGUCUCCAGAAUAUAAAUAAGCAUACCUUCCUUUGGACCAGGUUUUGACCAGAGUCAUACUGGAACCCUUGUUUCUGGGAGAGUUACGAAUGUGCUUUGCUAGGAAAUGCUGUUCCUUAAAGAGCUCGUGAAGCCUACAAGGUCUACAUGCAGAAUGACUGCAGUGCAUGGCACCAUGUGGCCUGAGCAGGACCUCACUUGUGUUGGCAAGAGAUGCUGCUGGCACGUUCUUUGCCAUGGAAGCUACUGGAACACUUGUCUGCAACACGUCAUGAGGACAUGGCAGUGACAGCUCAACACUGAUCAGGCUUCUUCAACCAAUAUGCAAACCAUUUAAAUAGUAGAGGAGCCCAAUCAAAAGGUGUUGCUCAAAAUUGUGCUUCAAAGGCUUAACCAAAAAAAUAAUCCAUGACAUUGCAUGAAGCAGUCAUAUUUACCUGUGCAUCUCCAUUUCUAUGAUAAUUUUGUAAUUCAAAGAUUGGAUUUGAGACUUUCAUAUGUGUUGAAUGUCUGUGUAAGCUCUGCUUACCCAGUUGGCACAAGGUGGUUGUUUCCUUGUGGAUCAGAAUUUAUACUUCUCAUUAAGCCAAAGUCAUUUCUAUUCACCAUUGUCACACUAAGUUGUGUCCUUUGGCAAUCCCCUAAUUCCAAAAGCCCAGUUGUUAAGUAAGCUUUGAUUAAAGGGGUCUCUUUUCAAGCCAAGUUUAUGGUAAUGUUAGAGAACACUAAGAGAGCAGAGCUGCACAGUACUGAAGGAUGUGGGGUGUCUCAAAUUGCCACUAGAGAAAAACACAUUCUUGAGGCAGGGUGUAGAGCUUUUCAUUUGAAACAUGCUCUGGUGCUCAAGGCCCCUCAAUCAAUGAUGUACUUGGCUCUUCAGCUACUAACUGGAGGAGUACGUGCAUGACUCUGAGCGUGGCACCAGGAGACACCUUCCUGCUCUGAUUGCUGAAGUAUUUCAGGCUGCAGUAUUAUGUGGCAAACUGCAAAAUCCUUUUCACUGUCCACUGAUCCGGCUGCAAGUAUUCUUUAUUAUAUUUUGCCUGUGAUAGAAGACACAUUUUCAUAUUUCCAGAAUGAUUAUUUUUGUAGGGUUCAACAGCUUUCCCCACUGCUCUUUAUCCAGAAUCACACUUUGCAGCAUCAUUUAGUUGUGGUGAAGAUAACAACAUUAUAUGCUGUGAAUGGACAGCUAGAUGAAUGCUACCCCACUUAGGUAAACUGCUUCUGUGCAUGCGCAAUUGUAAAUGGUAGAAAAGAAUGCCUUUCUGUAUUUUUUAUAACUCUACUUUUUGCAGCAACACUGCAUUUAGCUCACCACAACUAAAUGCACAGUUAGUAGAAGGAAUGUUCUGCCUAAGUAUCUGUUCGAACGUUUUGGGAACCCUCGGUGUAUUUGAUUAAACCUUUCUGUAGCCAGCAAAGCUCCUUGUGAAUGCAUAUACAGCAAAGCAUUUGGACUCGUAUGCAGUGCUGCAGCUUAACUUGGUUAAUCCUAAGCCAACACUUCAGUAAUAAGCAAAUUUCUGAGUUAACUGUCAGUUUAGUCUUUAGCUAUCUAUUGAUGGUGUAUACCAGAGAUCAGUGCUUCCCUGAGGCACUGGUGUUUUGAUUUUCAUCUACCUGUAUGAGAUGAUGAAGUGUCACUCUUUGCAUUUCUUUUUUCUUAAUUGGGGAAUUUGCACUCAGGAAAAUUACACAACUCUCCAAAAAGGAGCAGGUGUUCAUAGCUGUUGGAAGAGGUCUAUGUCCUCCACCACAGACCUGGCUUCUUCCUCAACUCAUUUGCUCCAGGAGGGUUUUAAAACUAUUUUUUGUAAGAGGAAAUAUACUGUCUUGUACUGAAAAUAGGCAGAACUAAUUUAUUCUAACUUGGUAUUUGUAGCUUGGAACUGUAGUCGGAGAGUCAGGUAACGUGGAGGGGUGGACUGGGACCUCUCCUUUAUGAUUAAUUAUUGCUGUUCCUUCAACAAAAGUCAUGAAAAAGUCCCUCCCAUAAUUACCUUAUAACGAAUGUCUCAUUCCUUUGCAGAAACCGGUAAGCAGUAAUUAUUUCUUAAAUUGUCUGAUUGCUUCUCUGACCCCUAGAAAUGGAUGCAGUAUCAUCAGGAUCACUAGCAGACAUGGAAGGCAGCGCUGUUUGCACAGGAGUGGAACAUUCCUGGUACUGGGGCCAUGGCCACGCUCUGCAGCAGAGAGAGGACACUGCAGGGUGACUCUACAGACAGGAAUAGGAGAGACAAUGGUCAUGGUGUGACACCCUGUGUAGUAUGUGGUGCUGGGCACAUAAAGCUGAGGCACAUGAGAAAUCAUAUUGCAGGCACUGCCUUGAGCAACAGAGGUGAUGCUGAAUGUGCCAAAGAGAGCAGAUGUGCACAGACCUAUGGAGACGUGCAUAGGAUACCUAUGCAGGGUAUCCUGCUACAUGUAGAGGCACUGAAACUUCAUAGAAUUAUAGAAUGGCUUGGAUUGGAAAGGACCUUAAAGCCCACACAGUCCCAUCCCUGGCUAUGGGCAGGUUCCUCCCCAACAGCUCAGGCUGCCUGGGGCUCCAUCCAACCUGGCCCCUGUUGAUGCACCCCGGGACACAGUUGGCCUUCUGGGCUGCAACUGCACACUGCUGGCUCAUGUCAAGCUUUUGGUCCGCCAGGACCCCCAUGUCCUCGUCCACAGGGCUGCUCUCAAGGAGUUCUUCUCUCAGUCUGUACACAUAUCUGGGAUUGCACUGACCCAAGCGCGACAGCAUGCACUUGGCCUUGUUGAACCUUGUAGGUUCACACGGGCUCACUUCUCAGGCAUUUCCAGGUUCCUCUGGAUGACAUCCCUUCCUCUGUUGCACCACUGAAACACUCAGCUUGGUGUUGUCUGCACAUAGCGCGGGCUGCAGCCUGAACAAGAUCAGCUCAGGUGAGUGUUUCAGCGCACAGCCAAUCCCACUGUGUCAGGUCCACUUGGGGGAACAGCACUGACGUUCCCCUUCAUUCCUUGUGUCAUCGGGGUCUUCCAAAGGCUUCUCCCAGGAAAGCCUUUAAGUGAAUUUUCUGCUGCUGCUCAUUAAUGUUGUGUUAGUUUUAAUUUCUUCCUUGUCUUGUAUCACUAAUCAAGAAGUAAUUGAAUUAGCUGAAAAGAAGGAUAAGAUAAAUUAGCUAAGAAGAAUUAACUGUGUGCACCUGAGGUCAGCAGGCUCCUAGAAAAUUCAAGGUGAGAAUUAGUUGGACUAUGACUGAGCUUUAGCAAGGAAGUUACAAAGUUCUUUGGAGAAUCAAGAUGCAGAAAUACAAUUGACAAUCUAACCAUGAAAACCUAGAUAUAUCUGAAAGUGUUUGUGCAAUUCCUUUCUAUUUCAAGACAGGAGAGCAAAGGACUGCACUUACAUUCUUUCCAAUUGCUUUGUUUAAUGAAGGGAAUUUCCCUGAAGUUUGACUUUUCAUCCUUGUGUGAAUUGGCUUUGCCAGGAAGAUAUUUUUCCUUCUGCAUUGAUAUUAAGGCAGUAAAUUGUCUGUCCCUGUGUUCACUUGCUUGACUUUUUAAUUUUUUUUUCAUGGUUGCUCUGUAAUUUAAGUUCAUCUUUCAUGAAAACCAUAUGUUGGAUUAAAGGCAGGGUAUUAUUUUCAUGCAUUGUAAUAUACUCUGUUACCUCCUCCAUUACAGUGCCAUGUUAAAGUAAUUAUUAUUCCACGUGUCACUGUGAAUGCGUUUAAGAUUCUUUAGGUCUUCUCUAGCAGGAGUUGAUUUCCACUGCUGAUUAACUGGUCUCAUUCUUUUUAUAUGUCGGAAUUAGCCAAGCAUAAGCUUAUAAUUAUUUUAUAGGAAGACUUCUAGAAAUAUGAAAAAAAUCAUGCUAAAAUAAUUAGAAAACGAAUUAGAUUACAAUUCAUGAAAACCAUAAGCUAAUGACAGUAAUUAAUUUUAUACUUGACAAAGCCUAAAUAAACAUAACUAAGUAAUGAUAUAAAGAAAGGAAGUUUCAGUCUUGAACAGAAAUGCCUUAAAGCAGCUAAAAGAAGCAGCUCAUACAGCUGCAUUUGUUUGAUCAUUAUAUUUGCUCUUUUGGAGAAAGAUUGAAACCAGUUCACUUCUAUGAGCAUAUGAAUUUAUUUUUUUGCAGCGGGGCUGAACUGACUGUACUAACGGCAUAGAAGGAGGCCCCGUUCGAUAACCUUAUCGCUGAUGCUCUCUUUUCACCAAACCUCAGCUGUAGCCGUAUUAAGUAAAACCACAGAAAAUGGUAUGGUAACCUCACCAUCUGCUGUGCAGCUUAGUUUGCGUUCUGCAGUUGGGGCUGAAAAUACGUUACUUGAAAUUGUGAGUUAAGUCGCUGAAAUGAGAUGGGACCCCUGCGGCCUAAUCCAUAGGAACCAGCCCAUUCUUUUGAGUUUCCCGUGUUUGAUUAGUUGUACUGUAAUUAAAGAAAUUACCAAUAGACCUCUGUCUGGAUGUGAUUAACUCACCAAGUGCUCAUACCUAUAUUCUUUAAGCAUCUCCAAAUAAUUUAGGGCCUCAUUUAUGUUCCUUAAUAAAGAAAUAAAUGAAAAUCGUCUACAGCCUUAAUACCGUGGCUUGUGUUACAAGCUGUUCUAUCUUGUGCCUCGGUGAUGCCUGUCCAAUUGUUUCUGAUUAUGCUGCAUUGUAAUUAAAGAACUAGAAUGCUAUUUGCCUAAAUGAGAACAUGCUGCCCAGGAGGGAGGAAAAGAAAUCAGAUAAAGACGAGAGCCUUCUAAGCAAACCAAACUGAGGAUGUCGAUGCUGCACGUAGACAUGGAGCUGUGGAUGGGACUGCUUGAGCUGCUUGGUGCCUGCUGAGUGCCAGCUUCCACCACAGCCUGCUCCCCGCCAGGGUAACCCAACAGCAGUGGCACAACACGUUGUGUGAAAAGUAAUCUGAUUUUCUCCAGGACGGGGCAGAGCAGGGCUCAUGGAAGGGGGGAAAUGAAGAAGGGCUGAUGGGAUAUUUUUGUUUUGUCUGUCAGAUGUGUUCUGAGGAUAUUCCCAUGUGUGUCCACAGCAACUGAAUGUCUGUGAAAGGCUGCACGCUGAGCUGCCCUGCAUAUUGUUAAGGAGAUGUGGUUCCACGCUGAUCCCAACACUCCUACAGUCUAUCACGUAGCUGCUUCUACCCACAGAAUGAGGAGAACAGGGAGUUAACCUUCUGUAAUGUGGACAUUAAUACACAUCAUAGAAUCAUAGAAUGGCCUGAGCUGAAAAGGACCACAGUGCUCAUCUUGUUCCAACCCCCUGCUAUGUGCAGGGUCGCCAACCACCACACCAGGCUGCCCAGAGCCACAUCCAGCCUGGCCUUGAAUGCCUCCAGGGAUGGGGCAUCCACAACCUACUUGGGCAAGCUGUUCCAGUGCCUCACCACCCUCUGGGUGAAAAUGACUUAAAAUAAGCAGUGUCGUGUGACAGGUGUCAUGAGGAGAGAUGACAUGGCACAUUUAAUAGGUUUCUGAGGUGUUGCACUACUUCGGAUGAAACCCCAAAGUGCUUGUUACCAGUUCUAGAGAUGGUACCAGAAAUACAUGAGCACUUAUAGGUGCGGAUUAUGUGUAUUGUUAGCUACUAAAAUAGCUAUUGAAAUAGUUGCUGAGGUAUUUGGUGGGGCUUCUACUUGCCAGAGCAUUUGUAUUUGAUCUCACAGUUAUAUGCAUUACACUUCUAUAAUACAUGAACAGAGCUUUUCAAUGCACGGACCCUAUUCUAUCCCACCAAAAACUAAUUGGUAAGAAAAUCACCCCUCUGUGGAGAGCAGCAGCAUUUUCUUGAGACUUAAUAGAUCACACUGUCCACAUCUCCUUUGCUCCUCCAUGACCAUUUGCUGCUAUGCACUUCAGUUGCUUGCACCAGAACUUGUGUUAUUUUUGCAUAUGAUGUAUAUAGUAAAGGGCUUUUACAAUAAAUAGAAUGUAUGGCUUCAUUUGCUGCAGCAUGCAAAUGAGAGCUCUGUGCCGUGUCGUACAGAACAGCUGCUUACUCAGCAUCUGGCGUUGGCUGCUGAUUGUCCUUCAGCUGUAGAAAUAAGAGAUUAGCAAAUAAGUGUGGGAAGUAUGACCACCUUGUGCAAGGCACCACCUUCUUUAUCUCCCUGUGGCGUUACGGUCACUGAAGGUUUGAUAGAUACAUGUCAUUGGACGGGGAACGAAGCCUAAGGCCCAGCAGGGUUGGUGGCCUGUCCUGCUCACACCAAAUGGGGGGCAAAGCUGGAAGCUCAAGAACCCUUGUCUGCAAAGUGGACUUCCAUCAUCUUGUUUUCUCUAAUUCGUCCGUUUUGGUUGCAAAUUCUCAGGAGGCAGAAGCUGUCUCAUCCCAUGCAUUACUCAGUGCUCAGAACAGCAUGUCUUCAUCAUGGCUGGUAUUUCUAAGAAUUAUAGCCUUUCCAAACAAAGGCGCAUCAUGGAGAAAUAAUAACGCUCAUCCUUAGUGAGUGUCCUAUCCAACAUCGCAGGGAUUAAGUACAAAUAGAGAAUAAAACUACUUUUCUGGUUCUAAAAAUAAUUCUUCUGGGUCAUGUGGAAAAUCAUUGUGGAGGUUAUUUGUGGGAGUUCAAAUGUUCAGUUGUUCUACUUUCCUUUUUCUAGGAAUUACUGCAUGGCAGCGUGUCAGCCUCCAAAAUCCUCAAAAAGCCCAUGAAAAGAACUGCUGUAUUUCCUUUGGAAAAACAGGAUGGCAGCGUAAGGAAAAAAAAAAUGUGUUAGAAUGUGUUACAGCUUGACUUUAUUGGGAUAUGGAAAUGUCAGAGAGUUUCGGAUGUACUGAUGGGUGUCACCAUUCAAACUGGACAAGGAAUUUGUUUGGGGAUAGGGUUUGUUGUCCUCAACGCCUCGCGACCCGCUGUGAGGACAGGGGUGCUGCCCAGCACUGGGAACGCGUCAGUGGAAAAUCACGAGGUUUUCUUUGAGGAACAAUGGAAUUUCUCAAAGGUUAGCAGCGUGCAGUGAGGAAGGUCAAUGAGAUGACUGCUUGGACCGUCCUCAAAGCCAAGCGAGAGGUACUGGUGCCUGGCCUGGGGGUGCACAGCCAUGAGUGAGGCUUUGUGACAGCAGCAACCUGUAAAGCUCGAGCAGAGGAGGUGGCUCUCCUGAAAGCUGCUGGCAGAGCCAGGCUGCUGAAAUAGAAGGACUGCUGACCAGCCGUUCCUGCACUCUUCACCGUUUGCCAAAAUGUAAUUUAUUUUUUUUUACAGCCAGUGGCUGAAAAUAGGAAAAAAUAAAAGAGCACGGUGCGGUGCUGGCACAGCGCAGAGCAAGUUGUUUCCUGAUAUUAAAACAGUGGUCAAGCCACAGGUCGUAAGCACUGCCAUUUGCAAUUCUUUCUGCUGAAUAAAAGGAGGCCCGAUCUGAUUAUACGGCAGAUAGGUUACUUCUAAGUAGAAGCAGGCUUUUAAAGGCCACCCUGCUCUUUUUUGACACUGGAUGUUUAAUUAUAAUUGUCUCUUUGCCCUCUUUAAUGUUUUCCAGCACGGAAUGCCUUUAAUUUAAAGGAAAUAGUUGCAUCAUCUAUGGGAACAUCCCAGUAACAAGAAAGAGACCCGUGGGGAGGGUAAACUUAGGAAGAAAGCAAGUGGUGGGCAAUCAUACAGACACCUUCAUCUUCUCCAGUUCCAUCCUCUCUGCUGCCACCGGCAGACAUGAACAGAAACAGGAGAUCAGUUGUCCUGUGGCUGGACAUUGCAUUGUUUGCCAUGUGUACGCACUGAAGAGAAAACUCUCCCAUGGCGUAAACAUCUUCACGUCCCAUAACGAAAGAAAUCAGCCCACCUGUCAGUGCUCAUCUUGCUUCAAGAACCGGCUUUCUAUGUUAUGUUGUCCUGCCAUGUGGUAGGCAAAGGUGAGGAAGGGUUGCACCGCAACGCCGCUCAUUCACAGAGGAAUCCGUUCUGCAAAAAUUGGAGAGAUUCUAAAAUCUAUUUCUUAAUAUCUAUAAGCUUCAGGAGCACAACAUUAACAUUUCUCCUCCUCCUCCACUGUGGCACAGGCUGAGAGGAUGCUGAAGUACAGGUGCCUGUCACCUGCCUGAGGGCGGCACACAGCCAGUAGCCGAAGCACAGCAAUCUCAGCAGCUGUAAACCGAUCUCUUCAGCCCAAGUUCAUUUACUUGGCUCCAAUGUGUAGACUGCCUUCAUACACGUUUAGCAGUGAGAUUUGCAAAACUGAGAACUGUGCUAUAAAAUACAGCUUUCUAGCGUGGUAUCAAAACCCGAUGAUGAAUUUGACACGCUGGGAGGCAGAGGUUUGGGCCGGAGGAAAGAUGACUUAGAACUAAGGAAAGCGAAAUGCUGAAGGGAACUUGGCAUAGUAAAACUGCUGUAGGCAGGGGAAAAUUAUGACUUUACUGAAGAAGAGAAAAAAAAGUUUUACUACUGGCUUCUGACCUUAUUGGCUUCUCAAAUGUAUACAGGGAAUGGAGAAUAAUUACCAAACAAUUUGUAGUGAGAAUUGGCUGCUCCCUGUCGUGCUAGAUGCACGUGCUGCCUUUGCUGCAGCAUCCUCCGCCAGCGCUUCCCUCUCCUUGCGCUGCCGCUCACCAUGCAGAGCCCCAGCUGGCGGCUGCCAGCAGCUCUGGAAAUGCAGGGCCUUGGGCUGCAGGCUGGAAAUUCUUGUUUCCAGGAGCAGCUUAAGGCCUGUGGAAAACUCCCACUGACUUUGCUGGGAUUAUCCAUCUGCGGAAAGUUAUUUGGAGGGAAGUGCAUUCCUUUGUAGAAUGGCUGGCAACAGGUCCGGGCAGUGCUUCGGUCUCAGUUCUGGUGUAUUGUUUUUGUUGGGCUGCAUUCAUUCUGUGCCUUGCACAAUGGGGCUGUGCUCCAUCACUAGAGCUCGCACUUUCCAUUUUAGUCUAAUAAAAGUAGGAUUAAAAAAAGAAAGCCCAACUUGAAUGCAUAAAUGUUUUCAGAUAGCGGACCCCUCGGGCUCUGCCAUGUUUGUCUUUGAGCACUCUCAUAGAGUUUAGAGCACAGCUCUGCCUGAGGAGCGUAGAUUCAGAGUGACCCAUCUGUUGUCAGGGCUUCUGGGGACUCAGGUGAGGAAAAUUGCAGUGUAAAUAGGAAAUGAGACCAGGGACAAUGUUCUGCCUGUGUUUUCUGAGCGUUACUGUUCCUUACACUCUUUUCAUAUUUUUACAUUUCUCUUUAUAGUGGUUUUAUGAUCUCAUUCCUCCAUGUAAUUUCAAAAGUACUCCAAUAUCUAAUUGGAAGGUUGAGGAGAAAAGUCCCCAGGCUAGCUUGUUUAAGAAGAAUGUUAUCUGCUGUCUGCUCAACUUACCUUCUGUGAAGCUCCAAGGCAAAGAAUCCUAUGCUGCAUUUAAACUUAAGAGUUUGCUAGUAAAAAUACCCUUCUUCCUGAGGUUAUUUAAAAUGAGAGCCUGCAUUUCUCACAUCCCACUGUUGUCUGAAAUACAAAAUCCCAUCCUAUAUUGCUAUGCCAGAAAAUGUUAGCGGAUAAAGUGCCGAGCAGGUCACAGUAUUUCUAAUUCAGAUUAAUGACCCCAUUCAGCUUGUCUCCUUAGCAGGAAAUUAGAAAGUGCUGGGAAGGAGAAAAUAGUGAUUCAUAAUGCGUGACUCUUUGUAUUGGCAGUUGCACUCAUUAAACACUAAGAUACUGUUUUGAUAUAAAAUAAUUGAGUCUGACUUAUUUAUGGGAUAUGGCUGUCUCAGAUUGCAGAGAUUCCCUGGAAGGACUGCUGGCUCUGUGCCUCAGUGGAGGAAAAAGAGGUGACUGAUGCCCAUUGGCAACCCCUGGCCAGGUGAAGCACAAAAGAAGUGCACAGAAAAUGACCACUGCUGCUCUGCUUAGAGAGGGGAAAACACCUUCUUCAGGAAGGUUUGGAGCAGACAGGGACAAAGUGAUGGUAAACCUCCUGGGAAAGCAGCUUGCACUGACUGCAUAAUUUGAUAACUGCAGUUACAAGAGGAUGACUCCUCACAUCAGCACGGCUCCUGGCCUCUCUGGACUUGAUGUGGGUACAACAGUGGUCAGCCAUGGUCUGUGUGCAUCCUUCAGGCUGAGCCCAGGAUACAGCUCUACACCCCUCUCUGCUCCCCAGCCACAGUCUCCCCUCACCAGGGGGUUCCAGCCUUCCUCUGGCCUCAUGCAUGUGCACCAUCACUUGGUAAUGCUGAAGAUGCCCCAUCUCUGGAUGCAUUCAAGGCUGGAUGUGGCUCUAGGCAGCCUGGUCGGGUGGUUGGCGACCCUGCACAUAGCAGGAGGGUUGAAACUGGAUGAUCACUGUAGUCCUUUUCAACUCAGGCCAUCCUAUGAUUCUAUGAUUUUGGCUGGAGAAAGUGUGCUGGUUCCAGAGCAAUUACACUGAAGUUUGUAUAGAAAUGUGGGAAAGUUCUCUCUUUGUCAGAGUUUUUGACAAAUAAACUUACUUCAAUGCCCACUUUUAGUUUUUUUGGGUUUUGAUUCCAUUUGUUUCAGGCAGCAAUUAAGAAAGUAAGAUUUGAUUCUUUAUUCAAGCGUGUAACCUACCCCUGCAGUGAGAGCUCUGCGCUGGGCUAGGAAGAGAGCAGAGAUUUCUACUGGUAGGUGAAGUUCUCACUCAUCCCCAGGAAUGCAGAAAUGAUCCUGAGAAGGAAGGACCAAAUCCUUAGUUCCCUGGGGAAUGCUGCAGCUCCCUGCUCUUAGGGUUUUGCUCCUGCAUUUGAGUUCUUUUUUCCUACCCAGCGGCACUGCUCCAGCUCCUUGAUUGGUGUGAAAGAUGGCAAGAAGGAUAAAUGCUGGUUGCAAGAUCUCUGAUGUGUUCCACAGAUCCAUAUGGCUGUCCAUACCUCGAGCUGUGGUGAAAAGGGUUGUCGGUACUGUUCUGUGAGGAGCUCAGGUUGGUUUGUGCCUGUUCAUUUGGAAAUAAAUAUGCAGUGGGCUGAGUUCAGAUGGGCAGAAAAAGGACUGUGGGUCAAAGGGGACCAGAGGGUGUGAAAUGUCAGCAUAUGGGAUGCAAGGUGUGCCAAAGGCUAGGGUGUGAAUCACUUUGGAUUUUCAGAUUUGUAUCAGCAUUGUGCCAGACUUCCAGCAUUUAUAUUAGUCACCUACAAUCUGCUGAAAUCCCGUAUUUGGUGUCUUUAAAAAGAUGUAUGUCUUUAUUUGCUCUGUAUUUGGCUUGUGAUCUUUAAGAGCUGCAGUUACUGGAUGCUAAGAGGUGGCCCUGUUCACAGCCUCAUGCUGCCUUGAUUGAAACGCUGAGGUCAAAGGCCAGCAGGAGCCAAAGGUCUCUGCAAGCUAACCAUAUGCACAGGCUCGCCAAGCUCUUCUCCCUCUGUGUCAUGAAGACAAAUGGCAUUUUUAAGAAUUCUCCCAAUGAACUAGCAUUCAUUUUCUGGUGUCUCUUCCUUCUUUAUUGCUUCCUAAUGAGCUUCAUUCCCAUCACCUCUAGCCUCCUGCUCUUGAGUCUGCAUUUACACUGAUGCACAGAAGAGCAGCAAAUUGAACAAAUUAAUUAAUUAAGCUGGCCCGUCUAAUGAAAGGCACCCUGAUGACUCCUGGGUUUUCCCCUCUUGCUUUUUAAAGAAAUCUACUCUAUAUCUUUAAUGGCCACAGUUGCUGGGCUUUUUCUGUCCAUAGGCUCUGCAAGAACACCAAAUUCUUUUUCUGUGGUGUUUGGGGUUUAACUGAGAACAUUUCUCUCUCUGUGUACAUCUUUACACAUACACACAUGUAUAAAUGUGCACACAGGUAUAUUUUUAUUCUUUAUUUCUGUAUUUAUGGCCCCUACUUUACUUGCUUGUUUAUUAUUUUAGCAGUGGAAUUUUCAUGAAAGUACUAUUCAGGAGCUAUUUGGAGUGACAGCUAUAACUAAAGAGGGAAUCCGUGCUGUUACAGCCCACAGAGCUUCCUCUCUGCCUGGUCUGGCUGGGCUCUAUUUGUGCUCCCGUUCGACCCAUACUGCUUUGUUUGCAGUCUGCACUCCCUGGGCCAGACCAGCUGAUUCAAAACCAAGCGUUACCUACACAUCCCCUUAUUUCCACUUAUUUCAAUGCAGUGUUGCUAAGCAGAAGAUCUGGCCCCAUGCAUUUGUGCUCCUCAUUACCAGAGCUUUAUGCUUUACCUCAGGUGAGGAUGUUGACUUUGGUGCUGCAAGUUGCCUAUGUGUAAAAUGCAUCCAGCACCUUCGUGUGUAAAUUACUGUCUUUACGUUGCUUUAAGAGACUCUCAGUGUGUGAAAGUACAUGAUGAAAACAGUGAAUAGGCACUGGAAUGGGCUGCCUGGAGAGGUGGCGGAGUCACUCACUCUGGUGGUGUUCAAGGAAUGUUUGGACUUUGUGUUGAAGGACAUGGCUUAGUGAGAGCCAUUGGUGAUGGGUGGAUGGUUGGACUGGGUGAUCCUGUGGGUCUUUUCCAACCUUGGUGACGCUAUGAUUCUGUGAUUCUAAAAAACCAGAGAGAACGUCUCCCUUCUCAAAAAGACCAACCCAUUAGGCACCAAAACAGCAGGCGUUGAAAGGAAG